AACGAACGCUGGCGGCAGGCUUAACACAUGCCAGUCGAACGCCCCGCAAGGGGAGUGGCAGACGGGUGAGUAACGCGUGGGUACAUACCCUUUUCUACGGAAUAGCUCUGGGAAACUGGAAUUAAUACCGUAUACGCCCUACGGGGGAAAGAUUUAUCGGGGAAGGAUUGGCCCGCGUUGGAUUAGCUAGUUGGUGGGGUAAAGGCCUACCAAGGCGACGAUCCAUAGCUGGUCUGAGAGGAUGAUCAGCCACAUUGGGACUGAGACACGGCCCAAACUCCUACGGGAGGCAGCAGUGGGGAAUAUUGGACAAUGGGCGCAAGCCUGAUCCAGCCAUGCCGCGUGAGUGAUGAAGGCCUUAGGGUUGUAAAGCUCUUUCACCGAUGAAGAUAAUGACGGUAGUCGGAGAAGAAGCCCCGGCUAACUUCGUG
rnacentral:rRNA from 1 species